rnacentral:misc_RNA from 1 species
CCGUAUUCUGCUCACGUCGGAUUGUGCUCCUAUUUCUAUUAAGAGAGAAAGACCAACCGCGUGUGGCUCAACGAAACUUUUGCUAACCCGGUCGAAUGUCUCUUGGGAGGAGACAAGGUGCGCGUGGCAGAUGUUAGGAGACCCUGUCCGGGGGUCCUUCGCUUGUGUUAACUCUCUCUCUAUCUCUUUCGCUCGGUCCCCGGGUGUUAAGCUCUUCACAGAGAGAGAGAGAGAGGAGCGAGCGAGGUUUGACCAGUCUGUGGCGAGGUCUGGAGGAGAAGGGUCGACUUUCUCCUGCACCUCGGUAUGUCCGUUCAUGGUGUCGGUACGUACGACCCGUUUCGUCGCUCGCUCUAUAAAAGGGGGGUUUCGAUCAACCUUUUGAGAGACGGCCCGGGUGCGUUCAAAGAGAUCUUGGUGGAGACGCCAAGCCGCCGACCAAAAAUCUUUCCCCGGUCGUCUAACUAAUUUUUUUUCUACACGAACAAGGACACAACUAGUUUGUUGCGAGCCGUCGUCUUUUCGACGGCCGUCUCACUUAAUAUGAAACGUUAACGUACGACCGUAGGCGUUGGAUCACUCGGCUCGU